rnacentral:rRNA from 1 species
UACAGAAGUCUCAAGCGUUGUUCGGAUUCAUUGGGCGUAAAGGGUGCGUAGGUGGCGCCAUAAGUCGGGUGUGAAAUCUCGGGGCUUAACUCCGAAACUGCAUUCGAUACUGUGGUGCUCGAGGACUGGAGAGGAGACUGGAAUUCAUGGUGUAGCAGUGAAAUGCGUAGAGAUCAUGAGGAAGACCAGUGGCGAAGGCGGGUCUCUGGACAGUUCCUGACACUGAGGCACGAAGGCCAGGGGAGCAAACGGG